rnacentral:rRNA from 1 species
GUUUGAUCCUGGCUCAGAGCGAACGUUAGCGGCAGGCUUAACACAUGCAAGUCGAGCGAGAAAGGGGCUUCGGCUCCGAGUAAAAGCGGCGGACGGGUGCGUAACACGUGGAUAAUCUGCCUCGUGGCGGGGGACAACAGUCCGAAAGGACUGCUAAUACCGCAUGUCAGGUCGGAAACUCCGGUUUCUGACGAAAAAGAGGGCACCCGCAAGGGGCUCUCACCACGAGAUGAGUCCGCGUCCCAUCAGCUAGUUGGCGGUGUAAUAGACCACCAAGGCUUAGACGGGUAGCUGGUCUGAGAGGAUGACCAGCCACACUGGGACUGAGACACGGCCCAGACUCCUACGGGAGGCAGCAGUGGGGAAUAUUGGACAAUGGGCGAAAGCCUGAUCCAGCCAUGCCGCGUGAGUGAUGAAGGCC